GGAGCCAUCUUGCGCCGCGCUCGGCUCGGCCCGCCUCCACCCGCCGCGGCCGCCGGGACGGUUCCCAUGGCAACGCGGCCGCCGCGCCGCCGGGCACAAAGGGAAGCGCGUCCCUCCCGGGACGGCCCGCGCGGGGCCCCGGGCACAUCCUCGCACGCGGCUCCGCCUCGGCCCUCGGGCACCGCUGGGGCCGUCCCGGGCACCGCUGCUCCUCUGAGGAGAUGCCCCGUGGAAAGCACCGCUCCCCCGGCCGGUGCCUUCUCGGCCGUGCCAGAGCUGCGCCUGCCCGGUCCGGCACAAGAGCCAACGGUCCUGGGAAAAACAUGACUCCUUAAAGCGAGGUGCGCGCUAGAAUUCAAACCCAGCCGCAGCGCAAUCCGCGUAAAUGUAACCCGCUACAGCUGCGCGAAUCCACCACCUUCAGCAGAGGCUCCGCAGACCUCAGCCAGGGCAAGCGGGCUUUGCAGGUGUUUUCACGGGCGUCAUGGAGCGGGCCCCACCUUCUCCUGAGGUGCAGUGGGAAGCCUGCCUGCGAGACACGGCUUUUGGCAGAGAAGAGCCUAAAGGAAGGAAAGCAUGUGCAUAGGCUGCAAUUAAUGGUUUCAGUUCUGUGAGUGCAGCUCAGGGUCAGCAAGUGAAUAAAACACCUUUCCUUCUACGAGGCAGCUAAAGCAUAAAGGCCUGUCUAAUAAAACAGGUGGUUUAUGCAGUUAGCCACACUCAGGUGCUCAUGUUCAAAAUUCUGCCUAAUCUUUGUUGUAGAGAACCAAAAGAAAACAUUGUGGGGAGUUUUCAAUAUAUCUAAAUAUCCUUUAAGACAAAAACAUGACAUUUGUUAUGUCUGUCAUAUAUUUCAAAGCAUAGCUUUUUACGUUUAUGUACUUCACUUAAUGUGCAAAGUUAAAAAAAUAAAUGCGAGAGUGAUUGUUU